AUGGUUUCUCAUGCUUUCUCAUAUCUGAAGAGAUAUAAAGGUAAGCUGAGCUGCCUGUGCAUGAAGACUUUACCCAGCUCCUUUAGUUCAAGCGUUGAGAGUCUUGAAUCCAAGCUCUCUGAGAUGGGAACAAUUAAAAAAAUAAGUAUGGAUCUCAUGAGGUGGAGUACAGACAGAGCAAUAAGUAAAGAUGACGAGGACUGUCACAUAGAACUGCAACCCAUGGAGGAAAAAGAAAGUGAUGAGUUUGCAGAAGCUGAGGAGAAAGCUCGAAAUGAUAUUGAAACAAUCCUCAACAGUCUGAAUUAUUUACAUGAUGAAGAUGAUGCAGAUAAAGCUGCAGCUGACAUUGUAAAUGUGUUAAUUGCUAACAUUCAGUAUCCUGAUGCAGAAGAUAUCACAUUAAGUGAGAAGUGUAGCUCACCCAAGCCUGCUUUUGAUGUGGACCUGGUGAUCAAAAAGGUGAAAGACUUUUUUGCAUCAUGCGCCCUAAUUAUAAAACCAGAUGAAGUAAAACAACACUUCUUCAGGUUUGCUAAAAAGGAAUUUGAAAAAAUGAACAGUGAGCUGAAAGAUCAGGUGAAGAAAAGCAAAGGAUAUUUGACCUUUCAGAGACAACAGGCAAACUCCGCUGAGAGUGAGAGAGCUGACUCCAGGAAAAGCGUACACAUGAAUCCCUCAGAAGUUCCCAGAAAAUCACCAACCUUAGAAACCACAGUUAAAAGUUCUUCUCCACUCAAAUUUAGAACAGUCAUGCCGGUUAUGGAUAAACUGUUUAGUAAAUUAACACAGGCAGGACACCUUGACCUGACAAGUAAGGAAAUCGAGAUGUUUUCAAGGGAGUUGACAGAUAAAGUGUACGACCAUGUUGAGUCAACAUAUCCAGCUCCCAUGAUGCAAAUGGGUAAAAGUCUCUCAGAGUCUGACAUGUCUAAGACUUCACAGGGUGACUGUAACGUACCCUCUGCUCCUAAGGUGCCAUAUGUGCUCGUAGAAGAUUCAGUGGAAAGGUUCUUACAAAACCUUCUUUUCUGGUUGGAGAAUGAAACUUUAACCCAAACUAUUAUAAAUGACAAAAUUUCUGGUGCCGUGGAAGAUAUAGUAAGAGUGCUGACCCCAUCAAAGGAAGAAGUUAUGAUUGGACCAGAUGCUGGUGAAACAAGUGACAGACUGUUUACAUCACAGUCAAGUCCAGUUACUGAUCUCACCAAUCAACCAGUCUGUGUGAGUGCAGAACACCCGGACCUGGUUUCAAAUACAAGCAAUGAUCAGGCAUCAGUGUCUCACUCUGAACCCACAGAGGGUCAAAGUCAGCCAGCAACCUCUGAAAAAACAGAGGAAGAACUGUCAGAAACAUUAGUGUCACCUGAUGAUAGGCUAAUUGCCAAUCAAUUUAGCACUCUUCUAGUCAUGAGAAUCGCACGCAAAUUGCCCAAAAACAUCAAACAUCUUCUGGAUACAGAAAAAAUAGACUUUGCUACCAACCAUCUGACAGAGUUGGUACUUUCUGAAGUGAGACGCACCAAAUCCCUGGAAAUUCUUAAAAAUAACAGCGUUAAAUUAGUCAAGGCCACAGCUAAAGGCCUUAUCAAGGAGUUUGGAUCUUCAGAGAAGUUCUUCGAUGUAAUAAUAUCAGAAGAUUCAUCUUUUUACGACACUAUUCUGAAUCACCUAACAAUCAAUCUCGGUGUCUUCAUGAAUCCUCCAAAGAAAUCCAAACUCGCCAGGUUUUUUUCAGCAGUGUUAAAAGCUUUUAAGAAGCCGUUCAGCCGCUGCUUUAAAGGCAGUACAGAUGACUAA
rnacentral:lncRNA from 1 species